UGCAGGCAUUUAGAAUCAACACAAAUCAUUCACAUCCCAACACAUUUGAAGUUCUAAAGCUUUUUAGAUUAAUCUCUUCUUUUCAACACAUACAGAAAUGGGUUUUCGUUUACCUAAUAUCAUCAGAUCAAAGGCAUCAUCUUCAAAAGGUGUCCCAAAGGGAUAUCUAGCUGUGUAUGUAGGAGAGCAAAUGAAGAGUUGGAACGUGUUGUAACCUGGAAGCCACACUUUGGAGUGGCUA